rnacentral:rRNA from 1 species
AUGCAGUCGACGGCAGCGCGGGGCAACCUGGCGGCGAGUGGCGAACGGGUGAGUAAUAUAUCGGAACGUGCCCUGGAGUGGGGGAUAACGCAGCGAAAGUUGCGCUAAUACCGCAUACGAUCUAAGGAUGAAAGCGGGGGAUUCGCAAGAACCUCGUGCUCCUGGAGCGGCCGAUAUCUGAUUAGCUAGUUGGUGGGGUAAAGGCCCACCAAGGCAUCGAUCAGUAGCUGGUCUGAGAGGACGACCAGCCACACUGGAACUGAGACACGGUCCAGACUCCUACGGGAGGCAGCAGUGGGGAAUUUUGGACAAUGGGCGAAAGCCUGAUCCAGCAAUGCCGCGUGAGUGAAGAAGGCCUUCGGGUUGUAAAGCUCUUUUGUCAGGGAAGAAACGGUGCGGGCUAAUAUCCUGCACUAAUGACGGUACCUGAAGAAUAAGCACCGGCUAACUACGUGCCAGCAGCCGCGGUAAUACGUAGGGUGCAAGCGUUAAUCGGAAUUACUGGGCGUAAAGCGUGCGCAGGCGGUUUUGUAAGUCUGUCGUGAAAUCCCCGGGCUCAACCUGGGAAUUGCGAUGGAGACUGCAAGGCUAGAAUCUGGCAGAGGGGGGUAGAAUUCCACGUGUAGCAGUGAAAUGCGUAGAGAUGUGGAGGAACACCGAUGGCGAAGGCAGCCCCCUGGGUCAAGAUUGACGCUCAUGCACGAAAGCG